GACGAACGCUGGCGGCGUGCUUAACACAUGCAAGUCGAGCGGUAAGGCCCUUUCGGGGGUACACGAGCGGCGAACGGGUGAGUAACACGUGGGUGACCUGCCCUCAGCUCUGGGAGUAAGCCUGGGAAACCGGGUCUAAUACUGGAUAUGACUCCAUGACGCAUGUUGUGGGGUGGAAAGCCUUGUGCGGCUGAGGAUGGGCCCGCGGCCUAUCAGCUUGUUGGUGGGGUGANGGCCUACCAAGGCGACGACGGGUAGCCGGCCUGAGAGGGCGACCGGCCACAC
rnacentral:rRNA from 1 species